UUAAUGCAAACCCCAACUGUGUUAUACAGCAAUCUAUAGUUUGAAGACCUACGCAAACAUCAACAGCCGUAAAAUUACUGAUAUAGAGAAGACAUGUUGUGCAUUUGUUAUAUUGCCAUAGAUUGGUCGAAGAAUGGCCUAUAUUUUCGAAAAAGAUCGGCCUUGGCGCAAAGAAUAGAGAUCACAAACUCUCGUCAGAGCAUUGAAAUUUUUGUCUCCAAGACGCCAUGUUGAGAGGUCUCGUUCAACGUGGCAUCAUAUCGACAAUUAUAGUGAAAUAUCGGUUUUUCGUAUUUAUUGUUCAUACUAUGGCGCUUUAACAUUUAGAAAUGCAUAAUGCCUUAUGCGAGACUUUUUCUUUACUUUUUUUGUGUUAUAUACUAUUGAUAACUUGGGUGUAUAACUUUUUAUGUACAAUAUCUGUUAGACGUAUUCAUAAUCGAUUUUUUUAACAUCGAAUAACUUAAUAAAAGUCCAAUGCUUCUUGGUUCUUCGAAGUGCUUA